GACGAACGCUGGCGGCGUGCUUAACACAUGCAAGUCGAACGGAAAGGCCCUGCUUUUGUUGGGUGCUCGAGUGGCGAACGGGUGAGUAACACGUGAGUAACCUGCCCUUGACUUUGGGAUAACUUCAGGAAACUGGGGCUAAUACCGGAUAGGAGCUCCUGCUGCAUGGUGGGGGUUGGAAAGUUUCGGCGGUUGGGGAUGGACUCGCGGCUUAUCAGCUUGUUGGUGGGGUAGUGGCUUACCAAGGCUUUGACGGGUAGCCGGCCUGAGAGGGUGACCGGCGACAAUGGGACUGAGAUACGGCCCAGACUCCUACGGGAGGCAGCAGUGGGGAAUAUUGCACAAUGGGCGGAAGCCUGAUGCAGCAACGCCGCGUGCGGGAUGACGGCCUUCGGGGUGUAAACCGCUUUCGCCUGUGACGAAGCGUGAGUGACGGUAAUGGGUAAAGAAGCACCGGCUAACUACGUG
rnacentral:rRNA from 1 species